UCAGGCUGGGUAAUUUUGUGUUUUAGAUCCUUUUCUGAAUUCUGUGGUUCAGUUGAGAUUCAAAUCAAAAUAGGUAAAAGGUAACUAGGCCAAGGCCAAAGGUAGUUGAUGUUUUGAUUGAUUUGUCUUGUAGUUGUGGUAAUUAUCCUACCAAGUAUGCUCUACCCCAACGGCCAGUUGACGAAGCAUGGCAAUUUCGACGAGAUGUUGUCAUUGUGGCUCGUGGGGCUGUUCAGCUGGUGUGGGUUUGGUGCGUUGCGGAUUUGGCUUCGUGCAGCGCAGAUUUAGUGUAGCGUGGUGCGAGUUUGGCCUGGGUGGUGUUUCACUGGUGAUAGUGAUAGCAGCACGCUGCUAUUUCAUGUGUCAAAUUAGGUUUCCAUGGAGACAUCAACAAGCCCCACUCACAUUGCUCCAACACAACCACAAGUGUGACGUCAGCAGAAUAGUAGCGUGCUGCUAUCACCGGUGAAACACCACCCUGGUGACGAACUUGACGGGGUGUCAAUAAAGCUGGAGUCACCUUCAGCGCUAGCCAGUAAAUGUGUAGAUAAAAGGAAGCUGAAAUUUAAAAACAAUCUAACCUUACCUAACCUUACCUAUUGGCUAUUAACAUACUAACCUAUACCCUACACCCUAGUUUAGUAGGUAAGGUUAGGUCAGGUUAGAUAAUGUUUUGUUCUGUUAGACUAGGUGGGUAUUUGAUUAGAUUUAAAAGCGAAUUUUGUGUAAAUGUCUCAAGAACUGGAGAGUCUAGCGACUUCACAAAUCGGUGGCAGCAUGUGAGAUGCCUGCUAUAUGAAUACCAGAAAUCCUUCUCUAUGCCUCAACCCCCUGUUCUGGGCUGGGCGGACACUUUCAUCCCAUGUGGGAAGCUCCCCUAGGAGCAUACACGGAGCCAGGUGCAGUGUCAGGGACAGGGUGCCCUGUUCACUGGAUGGGCUCAGCCCCAAUGACUUGUACCAGGGUGUUUGCCCAUACCAAUAGCUCCCCCUAAUUCCUAUCAUUCCUCCAACUCUGUAGUCUUUUUGGGCCAAAACUUGAAAGGCAACCCAACAAAACUUUAAAUUGAUUUUUAACUUGUGGCAUAGUACUUACUAUUUUGCCAGUCUGACAACAUCCCAUUACUGCCUUGACUGGCUUUCUUCUCUCUCAGGCUGAUCCUGUGUCACAGAGCCACAUAGAUGAGCAGCUACCCAUCGUAGGAUGCACACUCAACCUCCUGCUAGUUUCUGAGCCAAGUCAGCUUGACUGAGGGGUCUGCUAAUGCACAGCCACCUAGCCACUGCUAACAGAUGCUGGCUGGGACAGACGCUCAUCAAAGGCUCGUUGCUGUCGGCGGUUCUGAAGACAGCGGUUCGAUCCAGCUGAAGGACGUCACCUGGCAGGAAGUUGUAGAGUGUGGUGGCCAGUAUCAAGCCACAUUGUCCAGAAACCAUCACAUUAUCUCCAGGUCACUAGUCGCCGGUGCUCGAGCUGACGGCGUCGUUCAAGGGCUCCACGGUGACAAGCGCAGUCACCGCUGCCGCCGCCGCCGAGACCAUCCGACUCCUGGGCCCUGUUUCACGGCAGCGUACUGCAGCGCGCUACGCAGCGCUGCUGUGUUAGUGCGGCGAUUGAGACGAAUUCGGCUCGACGCUCCAGCGUUGCGAAACACCCGUGUCUAUGAAGGAUACGCCGAUACGUCUUCCAGCUUCAAGCCCUUCCCGCCCCCCCCCCCCGCCCCGUCCCAACGGUGUUGGCCGAGAUUGGGGUUGGUAUUUUAACGGGCUCUCCGAUGACGUCCCGCAAUUUGUGUUAUGUAAUUUGACGAUUAUGUCGUAGUCUCAUUCUGUCUCGAUAUGCUAAUAAAUGAUAAAUGGGACGGAGGUUGGAAGUAAGGUGUGAGUGGCUGUAACUGGCGGGUUUUGGCGAGCGCGAUAUUAGUUAUUGUGAGCGCGCCAGCUGCAUUAAAUCGCGCUUCUGGCGAGAAAAUACUUGCUCUGGAACCUAGAAGUUUGUCGUGAAAUCUAUGUGCCUUUGGAUUGAAUUAUUAGAACAUAAUGUACUUUCGGUGUCCAGCACUGCAGCUCUGGAAAUAGAAAUAUGGAUGUUGGCUGUUUGAUGUAGCAAGGGCUAACAAUCUGCGUCAAGAAUCAAAAGCUGUAUGCAAAUUAAAGUGAAUAUAUUUCAAUGAAUUUUUAAAUUUUGUGAUACAAAACAUAAAUGUGUCAACUACUGAUUACACCCGGCUGCAAACACUGUAACGCUUGCAAUGCUGUACGGCAAAUAAAUAAUAUAGAUUCUC